UUGUUGCUUCGGCGGGCCCGCCUUAACUGGCCGCCGGGGGGCUUACGCCCCCGGGCCCGCGCCCGCCGAAGACACCCUCGAACUCUGUCUGAAGAUUGUAGUCUGAGUGAAAAUAUAAAUUAUUUAAAACUUUCAACAACGGAUCUCUUGGUUCCGGCAUCGAUGAAGAACGCAGCGAAAUGCGAUACGUAAUGUGAAUUGCAAAUUCAGUGAAUCAUCGAGUCUUUGAACGCACAUUGCGCCCCCUGGUAUUCCGGGGGGCAUGCCUGUCCGAGCGUCAUUGCUGCCCUCAAGCACGGCUUGUGUGUUGGGCCCCGUCCUCCGAUCCCGGGGGACGGGCCCGAAAGGCAGCGGCGGCACCGCGUCCGGUCCUCGAGCGUAUGGGGCUUUGUCACCCGCUCUGUAGGCCCGGCCGGCGCUUGCCGAUCAACCCAAAUUUUUAUCCAGGUUGACCUCGGAUCAGGUAGGGAUACCCGCUGAACUUAAGCAUAUCAAUAAGCGGAGGAAAAGAAACCAACAGGGAUUGCCCCAGUAACGGCGAGUGAAGCGGCAAGAGCUCAAAUUUGAAAGCUGGCUCCUUCGGGGUCCGCAUUGUAAUUUGUAGAGGAUGCUUCGGGAGCGGUCCCCAUCUAAGUGCCCUGGAACGGGACGUCAUAGAGGGUGAGAAUCCCGUAUGGGAUGGGGUGUCCGCGCCCGUGUGAAGCUCCUUCGACGAGUCGAGUUGUUUGGGAAUGCAGCUCUAAAUGGGUGGUAAAUUUCAUCUAAAGCUAAAUAUUGGCCGGAGACCGAUAGCGCACAAGUAGAGUGAUCGAAAGAUGAAAAGCACUUUGAAAAGAGAGUUAAAAAGCACGUGAAAUUGUUGAAAGGGAAGCGCUUGCGACCAGAUUCGCUCGCGGGGUUCAGCCGGCAUUCGUGCCGGUGUACUUCCCCGCGGGCGGGCCAGCGUCGGU
rnacentral:sRNA from 1 species